rnacentral:rRNA from 1 species
AUUCUCCCGGUACUGUCAUUAUCAUCCCGGGCAAAAGAGCUUUACAACCCUAAGGCCUUCAUCACUCACGCGGCAUUGCUGGAUCAGGCUUUCGCCCAUUGUCCAAUAUUCCCCACUGCUGCCUCCCAUAGGAGUCUGGGCCGUGUCUCAGUCCCAGUGUGGCUGAUCAUUCUCUCAAACCAGCUACAGAUCAUUGGCUUGGUAGGCCAUUACCCUACCAACUACCUAAUCUGGCGCGGGCUCAUCCAUCAGCGAUAAAUCUUUCCUCCAAAGAGAAUAUACGGUAUUAGCAAUUAUUUCUAAAUGUUAUUCCGUACUGAUGGGCAGAUUCCCACGUGUUACUCACCCGUCUGCCACUAAUUUAUUUAAAGCAAGCUCUAAAUAAAUCCGUUCGACUUGCAUGUGUUAAGCAUACCGAAAGCGUUCGUUCUGAGCCAUGAUCAAACUCUAAUCACUAGUGAAUUCGCGCCGCCUGCAGGUCGACCAUAUGGGAGAGCUCCCAAC